AUCCGUUAAAUCGUCAACAACAACAAAAAAUCAACAGUUCUGAAUAUUCAUAAUUCUGCAACCUUUUUUGGAUCGAUCGAACGAAAUGCAACACAUGAAUGUUGAAAAGUUGAUCAGUUUGGUUCAGAAGCGAAAGAAGUUGUGGUGCCCAACGGAUCAGUGCUACAGCAAAUCAAAUGCCUGUCCAGUCCCCUUCUCUACUGCCGCCACUUUUUCUACCGGAAUUUAGGUCGACG